UAAUAUAUAAUUUAUUCUUAAGCUUUACUAUAAAAAAAUAAAUUAUAAAUCUACUACAAAUUAUCUCGCAUCUUAAAAAUUCUAGCAUGUAUUUUAAAUCCUAAUUUACAAGCAUUCAAACACUAUUUUUUCAUAUCUCAAUAAUCCAAACUCUGAAUACUAAAAAUUUUAUGUAUAAAGUUUAUUAAUAUGAUAAUAUACAUUCUUGAAAAAAUUUAGUCAAAAUCUUAUCAAAUCGCUCAAGAUAUAGCUUGAAUCACAACCAUUAGUAAAUCAGAUGACUUACUGCCUUUAGAUUGCAAGCACUGACUUCAACUUCAUGUAACUCCUUCAUCUUAGCUUAGAAUUCAUCAAGUAAUACAUAAAAAGUGUAGCCAAAUUUUUUUUUUCUCCAAUCCUAGUUGUUGAUAUUUCAUUUCUUUCGGUAUAUGUACAUUA
rnacentral:lncRNA from 1 species